rnacentral:rRNA from 1 species
ACUAGGUGCCAUAUCACCCUGCAACUCACAACUAGCAACCCACUGAAGCGAGGCAGGUGUGAGCCUGGUUAGUACCUGGAUGGGAGACCUCCUUGGAAAAACUAAGGUUGCCGCUGGAG